AUUAGCUUGGAUAUUAUAUUGUUCGCGUCGUCAGUCUACCGUGCGUUUCUUCGAGGUUGUUUAGAUGUCGGAACUCGACGUCAAGGAUUGAUGGCGGUCACUUUGUGAUUUUGAACUUUCUCAAGCACAGCAUCAAGCAUGUGAAGAAAGAGACUGGAAAUCAAGAAAUUUAAGGAGGAAAAAAAAGGAAGUAUAACUUAUACAAGGACAGCGUCAAGCAUGCGAUGGAACAUUUCAAAGUCAAGAAACUCGAAGAAAAAAGAAAAACAGAAUAUCUUCUCAC